rnacentral:misc_RNA from 1 species
CUGAAGUACACUUCUUUCUUUCAUAAUAUGAAUGCUAGUGCCCUCCGAACAAUGAAGGUCAUGCGUUCUGAAAACUCUUUUGAAGAGCUAUUAAAUCUAGUAGAGAUGAAUCAUCAAUUGGCUUGUGAUCCUGAGGUUGGUGGUUGUGGGAAGCUUAACUGUAUCCAUCAUAUUCUGUCAACUGCACCACAUGUUUUUACAACAGUUCUGGGAUGGCAAAAUACAUGUGAAAGUGCUGAGGAUAUAGCAGCAACAUUGGCAGCUAUUAAUACUGAGAUCGACAUUGGCACUCUGUACCGUGGUCUAGAUCUGAAAAACAUGCAUAGCUUGGUUUCAGUGGUUUGCUAUUAUGGGCAACAUUAUCAUUGCUUUGCCUAUAGUCAGGACCAUGAACGAUGGACCAUGUAUGAUGACAAAACUGUCAAGGUAAUUGGCAGCUGGGUGGAUGUUCUUUCCAUGUGUGAAAGAGGGCACUUGCAACCUCAGGUUCUUUUCUUUGAAGCUGUAAACUAGUUAGUGGAACUUGUCAAAUUAUUCUCUGCACAGAAGAGCACUGAGUUCAGCAUGGCUUGACAUUUGAUUGCUGUCUGUGGUGAGAUGUUUGUAGUGUUGCAUUGUAGCUCUACCCUGACGCAUUUCAUAUGGUGAAAUAUACAGCUUGGCUUCAGUUUUGAUACAAAAUGAGAGUUGUGAUAUAAGAUCAAAAGUUUUGUCACAUAGAUAGGAGGUUUUCUUGGAAAAAUGAUAUUCUCAGGGAAGAAUAACUAUCAAGGAAAUUUUCUUCUUCAAGCUUUCGGCUAGAAGAAAUCAGUAACACAAUAGACUGGUGUGUAGAAUUCUUGGGACUCUGUGAAUCAAAAAGUAUCGUCUGGGUAAUCAAGAUUUGUCGAUGGAAUUUUCUUUUUCUUUCGUGGAUCUUUCAAAUAAGGUGGGUGGUUGAGAAGAAGAGCAGUAAUUUUCUUGGUUACCAGCCUGUGAAUGCAUUGAAACUUAUGAUGCUUUUUGUAAGGUGGCAAAUAAUGAUCGGUGUUACCAGGAGCAUAUAGUAAUAGCAAUUGUAAGUGGGGAAUUUAGUUAAAAAUGGAUUCAAACUUUCUUUUAGAUGCAAAAUUUUGAGAAAUUUCCCCCUUUUGUAUAGAUUACAUCAUGGCCCUUCGGGUUUUCAACUUUUCAUAUGCAGCUUCUUGUUGUCGAAUAUGAUCAUGAUGUAAUGACGAUGGGG